AUCAUAUAGUGAGUGGAGGAUUUCUAUUUUCUCCACUCACACAUUUUCACAUUUCAUCUCUUUCUUCCUCACCACAAAACCCUAGCCUCUAUGGAUGAAGCUUGAAACUUUAGGCAUUGACCUUGAUCUUUGAGACCCUUCCACUUACUUUAGACCAUAAAGCUUGGAAUACUUUUUGUUUCACUCAUCCUCCUCUUCAAAACCCUUAAAGGAUUUAGCCUAACUCCUAGUUUUGCUUUGGUAUCUAGGGAUUCAAUUCUCUAGUGAGGUAACAAGCUGAAAUAUCUGUCAUGCAGACCAAAAAUUUGGGGAGAUUUCACUUCGGUGGUAAUUGGGAUUUUCAUUCCAAUUGAGGUCACUAGAGUUUGGCUCUAAUACGGGAAUGUGAGUCCUCUAAGUCAGAAGUUCGCGCGUUGGGUAGGCUGCCUGGGGGUACAGGAUACAAGAUUGGAGAUUACAAUUGCUUGGGUGAUUUGCUGAGUUGAGCUUCUUUAGAAGCAUUCUUGUUCACAUGCAAGUGUUAGCAUGUUCAUGAUUUGUCUAUGAAAUAUAAUUUUUCUAACUUGGAGGUCUGACAUGUCAAAUGUUGUAAAUAAGUUGUAAUAAGGCCAUGGGCCAUUGUAGCAUGUUUAAAAUACCAUUUUACACUUGUGUGUAUGUUCACAUCAUCACACAAUAGCAUAUAA